UCAUUCUGCUCUUUAUAUAAAACCAUUUUUACAUUUUAAAGAGCAAGACUCAAUUAAUAAUUUUGAUCAUUAUAUGAAAGAGUUUAGUGUACAAGUUCAUUCAUUUAUUGAUAGUCAUAGCUCUAAUGUCCAUAUACAAACAGAGGAAUAACAAUUAUUAAUUAUAACAUGUAUAAAACUAAGUAUUAUCAAUAGUAUCAUUUUUAUUUCAUGUACAAGUUGUGUAUGCAUAAUUGCAUAUCUAUAUAUCUAGUGAAGUCAUGAAGAGU